rnacentral:rRNA from 1 species
GAUGAACGCUGGCUACAGGCUUAACACAUGCAAGUCGAGGGGAAACGCCGGGGAAGCUUGCUUCCCCGGGCGUCGACCGGCGCACGGGUGAGUAACGCGUAUCCAACCUGCCUCUGACUGAGGGAUAACCCGUCGAAAGUCGGCCUAAUACCUCAUGGCAUCGUCUGCGGGCAUCCAACGACGAUUAAAGAUUUCAUCGGUCAGGGAUGGGGAUGCGUCUGAUUAGCUUGUUGGCGGGGUAACGGCCCACCAAGGCUACGAUCAGUAGGGGUUCUGAGAGGAAGGGCCCCCACAUUGGAACUGAGACACGGUCCAAACUCCUACGGGAGGCAGCAGUGAGGAAUAUUGGUCAAUGGGCGGGAGCCUGAACCAGCCAAGUAGCGUGCAGGAUGACGGCCCUAUGGGUUGUAAACUGCUUGUAUGCGGGGAUAAAGUGAGGGACGUGUCCUUCAUUGCAGGUACCGCAUGAAUAAGGACCGGCUAAUUCCGUG